UAACACUUAUUUUCAUGCGUCUUCCUGCUCCUGUUUGCUUUAUAUUAGUAAAGUGGACUUUUUUGUUCUCCUGCAGUUAAUACUUGGGAUGUUCUGAAGUCUUCGUGCACUGUCCUUCCAGUGGCAUAUUGGACAACUGACAGCAGCAGCACAGUUGGCAUGUAUAUCUGAAGUUUCUGAAGCUUUUAUGACUAUGUCUGUUCGUAAAAGCCAUUCAGGUUAUGUCCUCAGAUAAACUGAGUCAGCAUAUAAAGCUGCACACUACGCAAUGCAUAUACAUAACGGAGGAAUGGGGAUCAAAUCCAGGGUAAUGGGGCUGCAGCUAAAAAGAGCCAGAGUCUCAAAGCCAGCAGUUCCUCAGAAUUUGUUGCUGUUGUCUUCCUGGGCUCUUUACACCUUCUCAAAUCAUGAAUGUAUUAUUUUGGCUGGCAGUCUGCAGAGUGCCAGCAUUCUCAGGAGGAGAGCAUUAAGGGAAAGCAGGUUGUCAACAUCCCGGUUGUGGCCUUUCCUUAUCUGAGAUUUUGUGAAUAAUCAGUUUUUCUGAAUAAUGUACACAGAAUAAAUUAUACAGUUGGGUUGAAAUGGCUUAGAAU
rnacentral:lncRNA from 1 species